GUGUGUGCCGGGCCAGCGGGUGGUGGAAUACGGGGGGGGGUAGAGUUGUUUGGAAUUACAUGGCGUACAGCGCGCGUAGGCGGCUGUUGAGGUCAGCGGUGAAAUCCCGGGGGUCAAGUCCGGAACUGCCGUUGAAACUGCAUCGCUUGAAUCCGGGAGAGGGGAGUGGAAUUCCGAGUGUAGAGGUGAAAUUCGUAGAUAUUCGGAAGAAUACCAGUGGCGAAGGCGUUCUGCUGGGCCGUUGCUGACACUGAGGCGCGACAGCGUGGGGAGCAAACAGGAUUAGAUACCCCGGUAGUC
rnacentral:rRNA from 1 species